AGUAAUGUCUGGGAAACUGCCUGAUGGAGGGGGAUAACUGCUGGAAACGGUAGCUAAUACCGCAUAACGUCGCAAGACCAAAGUGGGGGACCUUCGGGCCUCAUGCCAUCAGGUGUGCCCAGAUGGGAUUAGCUAGUAGGUGGGGUAACGGCUCACCUAGGCGACGAUCCCUAGCUGGUCUGAGAGGAUGACCAGCCACACUGGAACUGAGACACGGUCCAG
rnacentral:rRNA from 1 species